CACUUGCAAGUCCGAACGAUGAAGCCCAGCUUGCUGGGUGGAUUAGUGGCGAACGGGUGAGUAACACGUGAGUAACCUGCCCUUGACUCUGGGAUAAGCCUGGGAAACUGGGUCUAAUACCGGAUAGGAACGUCCACCGCAUGGUGGGUGUUGGAAAGAUUUAUCGGUCAUGGAUGGACUCGCGGCCUAUCAGCUUGUUGGUGAGGUAAUGGCUCACCAAGGCGACGACGGGUAGCCGGCCUGAGAGGGUGACCGGCCACACUGGGACUGAGACACGGCCCAGACUCCUACGGGAGGCAGCAGUGGGGAAUAUUGCACAAUGGGCGAAAGCCUGAUGCAGCGACGCCGCGUGAGGGAUGACGGCCUUCGGGUUGUAAACCUCUUUCAGUAGGGAAGAAGCGAAAGUGACGGUACCUGCAGAAGAAGCACCGGCUAACUACGUGCCAGCAGCCGCGGUAAUACGUAGGGUGCGAGCGUUAUCCGGAAUUAUUGGGCGUAAAGAGCUCGUAGGCGGUUUGUCGCGUCUGUCGUGAAAGUCCGGGGCUUAACCCCGGAUCUGCGGUGGGUACGGGCAGACUAGAGUGCAGUAGGGGAGACUGGAAUUCCUGGUGUAGCGGUGGAAUGCGCAGAUAUCAGGAGGAACACCGAUGGCGAAGGCAGGUCUCUGGGCUGUAACUGACGCUGAGGAGCGAAAGCAUGGGGAGCGAACAGGAUUAGAUACCCUGGUAGUCCAUGCCGUAAACGUUGGGCACUAGGUGUGGGGACCAUUCCACGGUUUCCGCGCCGCAGCUAACGCAUUAAGUGCCUCAGGGAGAGAGUAGGAGCGCAAGGCUGAUACUCAAAGGAAUUGACGCGCGCCCGGAUUCCUGUGUUAGCAUGCGGAUUAAUUCGAUGUCAACGCGAAGAACCUUACCAAGGCUUGACAUGUUCUCGAUCGCCGUUGAGAUACGGUUUCCCCUUUGGCCCGGACUCCCACUUCAUGGGGUCGAGUUGCAAACCCCCAUCCGAAAUUGUCACCGCUUUUAAGGAUUUAGUCCCCCCCCCAAUAUCCCAACCCAUUGUAACGGGCAUUCGAGCCUGGCGAGAAGCCCAGACAUAAUGGGGCUUGAGGAUUGGGCCAAAUCCCAACCGUUGGCAAAGGUGGACCAAAACGGUCCCCGUGGGUCCCCCGGGAGACCCCGCUCGAAGCGAGGAAUGACGGUUUGCCCCCGUUGAUGCCUUACCCAAAACCAAAAGCCCCUUUUGGAGGAAAGUUUUUUGCCAAGAGGGACCCGC
rnacentral:rRNA from 1 species